rnacentral:tRNA from 1 species
GCCCGGCUAGCUCAGUCGGUAGAGCACCAGACUCUUAAUCUGGCUGUCGCGGGUCA